rnacentral:rRNA from 1 species
UUGACUCUUAAACCGUCUUGAAUAAGGGGUGGGUAAGGACGGUGCCAGCCGCCGCGGUAAUACCGGCGCCUCAAGUGGUAGUCGAUUUUAUUGGGCCUAAAACGUCCGUAGCCUGUUUGGUACAUUCGUGGGUAAAUCAACCAGCUUAACUGAUUGAAUUCUGCGAGCACGGCCAGACUUGGGACCGGGAGAGGUGUGGGGUACGCUCAGGGUAGGGGUAAAAUCCUGUCAUCCUGAGCGGACCACCUGUUGCGAAGGCGCCACACUAGAACGGAUCCGACGGUCAGGGACGAAGCCUAGGGGCACGAACCGGAUUAGAUACCCGGGUAGUCCUAGGUGUAAACGCUGUGGACUUGGUGUUGGGGAUUCUCCGAGGAUCCUCAGUGCCGAAGCGAAGGUGAUAAGUCCACUGCCUGGGGAGUACGGUCGCAAGGCUGAAACUUAAAGGAAUUGGCGGGGGAGCACCGCAACCUGAGGAUUGUGCGGUUUAAUUGGAGUCAACGCCGGGAAUC